UGGCCGGCGUGCUUGGAGGGAGAUCGGAAAGAUCACAGGAGAGUUGAGAUAUAGUGUAGUUGAGAUCACCUGUCAACUGGGUCAACGGCUAAGUGCGUCAGCCAUCGCCGCGUGUUUUAGAGUAAACACUUUACUCAACGCAAGAACAUCUGAGAUCACUGCAAGAAACAUGUGGAGGGGUGACAAAUGAGGCAUGCGGUGACGUCCCUUCGUUGGAAAGUGUUUUGAGACCGAAAGAAUCGCAGCGUGACGACGUGUGUACAAGUUCCCGAGUACGUGGAUUUGUCGUUAGAAAACGCGAAAGAUCCUGAAAUUCGCGUGCUUGCCAACACAAAGGUCUUCCAGGCAGACGAUUCUUCAGAGAGUCCUCGUAGUCGUCCGGUGACACUUUGCACUCAGGGAGGCCAACUUAGGAAUACAUCGGUUUAUUGUAGGACAAAGUAGCAUACAUCGUCGAGCGGCGGCUGAUUAUCGGCUGGCUCCUUCCCUCUUCAUCUCUACACACUUUUUUAAGUGAUCAUCAACAAUACAGGC